rnacentral:rRNA from 1 species
UACGUAGGGGGCUAGCGUUGUCCGGAAUCAUUGGGCGUAAAGAGCGUGUAGGCGGCCCGGUAAGUCCGCUGUGAAAGUCGGGGGCUCAACCCUCGAAUGCCGGUGGAUACUGUCGGGCUAGAGUGCGGAAGAGGCGAGUGGAAUUCCUGGUGUAGCGGUGAAAUGCGCAGAUAUCAGGAGGAACACCAAUUGCGAAGGCAGCUCGCUGGGACGUGACUGACGCUGAGACGCGAAAGCGUGGGGAGCGAACAGG